rnacentral:rRNA from 1 species
GACGAACGCUGGCGGCGUGCUUAACACAUGCAAGUCGAACGGUAAGGCCCUUCGGGGUACACGAGUGGCGAACGGGUGAGUAACACGUGGGUGAUCUGCCCUGCACUUCGGGAUAAGCCUGGGAAACUGGGUCUAAUACCGGAUAGGACCACUGCCUGCAUGGGUGGUGGUGGAAAGCUUUUGCGGUGUGGGAUGGGCCCGCGGCCUAUCAGCUUGUUGGUGGGGUGAUGGCCUACCAAGGCGACGACGGGUAGCCGGCCUGAGAGAGUGACCGGCCACACUGGGACUGAGAUACGGGCCAGACUCCUACGGGAGGCAGCAGUGGGGAAUAUUGCACAAUGGGCGCAAGCCUGAUGCAGCGACGCCGCGUGAGGGAUGACGGCCUUCGGGUUGUAAACCUCUUUCAGCACCGACGAAGCGCAAGUGACGGUGGGUGCAGAAGAAGGACCGGCCAACUACGUGCCAGCCGCCGCCGUAA